ACGCACGCUGGCGGCGUGCUUAACCCCUGCCAGUCGAACGGAAAGGCCCUGCUUGCCGGGUACUCGAGUGGCGAACGGGUGAGUAACACGUGGGUGAUCUGCCCUGCACUUCGGGAUAAGCCUGGGAAACUGGGUCUAAUACCGGAUAGGAGCCAUUUUUAGUGUGAUGGUUGGAAAGUUUUUUCGGUGUAGGAUGAGCUCGCGGCCUAUCAGCUUGUUGGUGGGGUAAUGGCCUACCAAGGCGGCGACGGGUAGCCGGCCUGAGAGGGUGGACGGCCACAUUGGGACUGAGAUACGGCCCAGACUCCUACGGGAGGCAGCAGUGGGGAAUAUUGCACAAUGGGCGCAAGCCUGAUGCAGCGACGCCGCGUGGGGGAUGACGGCCUUCGGGUUGUAAACUCCUUUCGCUAGGGACGAAGCUUUUUGUGACGGUACCUAGAUAAGAAGCACCGGCUAACUACGUG
rnacentral:rRNA from 1 species